rnacentral:rRNA from 1 species
UACGAAGGGGGCUAGCGUUGUUCGGAAUUACUGGGCGUAAAGGGCGCGUAGGCUGUGCUGUAAGUCAGGCGUGAAAGCCCCGGGCUCAACCUGGGAAUGGCAAUGGAUACUGGCAAGCUAGAGUGCGGUAGAGGGUAGUGGAAUUCCCGGUGUAGCGGUGAAAUGCGUAGAGAUCGGGAGGAACACCAGUGGCGAAGGCGGCUACCUGGACCAGCACUGACACUGAGGCACGAAAGCGUGGGGAGCAAACAGG